CAGCCGCCACGGGAAUACGUAGGUGGCAAGCGUUGUCCGGAAUUAUUGGGCGUAAAGGGCUCGCAGGCGGUUUCUUAAGUCUGAUGUGAAAGCCCCCGGCUCAACCGGGGAGGGUCAUUGGAAACUGGGAAACUUGAGUGCAGAAGAGGAGAGUGAAUUCCACGUGUAGCGGUGAAAUGCGUAGAGAUGUGGAGGAACACCAGUGGCGAAGGCGACUCUCUGGUCUGUAACUGACGCUGAGGAGCGAAAGCGUGGGGAGCGAACAGGAUUAGAUACCCCCGUAGUCCCUGUCUCUUAUACA
rnacentral:rRNA from 1 species